AACGAACGCUGGCGGCAGGCUUAACACAUGCCAGUCGAACGCACCUUUCGGGGUGAGUGGCAGACGGGUGAGUAACGCGUGGGAAUCUACCCUUCUCUACGGGAUAGCUCCGGGAAACUGGAAUUAAUACCGUAUACGUCCUGAGGGAGAAAGAUUUAUCGGGGAAGGAUGAGCCCGCGUUGGAAUAGCUAGUUGGUGGGGUAAAGGCCUACCAAGGCGACGAUCCAUAGCUGGUCUAAGAGGAUGAUCAGCCACAUUGGGACUGAGACACGGCCCAAACUCCUACGGGAGGCAGCAGUGGGGAAUAUUGGACAAUGGGCGCAAGCCUGAUCCAGCCAUGCCGCGUGAGUGAUGAAGGCCCUAGGGUUGUAAAGCUCUUUCAGUGGGGACGAUAAUGACGGUACCCACAGAAGAAGCCCCGGCUAACUUCGUG
rnacentral:rRNA from 1 species